GGUAGGAUCAGUCUCUCGGUAUUCACCAACAUGGUAGACUGCUCAGGAUGAGAAGAUAAGUAGUUUAUGUGUAUAACAUAUUAUUUUGAUGCUAGUUGCGAGUCGGUGAUUUCCCGACUGGUGUAGAGUGCAGUGUUCCUUCAGCAGUGGAAGUGUGGCGCUGCAUCAACAGCCACGUGGUUCCAAAGACGAGGAAACGGCGCUUCUGACCGCCAGGGGAGAUUGAUGAGGCGCACAAUUGUCCGCUACGUCAACUUGUCCUUUGUCCUCACCCUCGCCAUGAUCACGGCAAGAGUCAAGAAGAUUCCCCACACUGGACCACAUUGUAGAAGCAGGCUGCCAGUACAUUCAAGACUGAGGGAAAACAAUCUGAAGUCCUGAUCUGCUAGGUGCAUCAGUCAUCAGGUUUUGUUACUCUCUCGGAAGAUUUGAGACUGAUGGCGAACAGUAAAAAGUUGGGUACACACCCUGCGAACCUGACUGUUGGAUAUUUUAGGCACCAUUCAUACACAUUUUGGAUAAGAGUUGGUAAUGACUGAUGCCCUGUUCCUGGCGUUGAAUUAUUUAGAAUACCUGCUUGUAAUGAGGACUAGGCACGUUUUUGCCUUGUUUUUUUUUUUACGGGAUUGAGUUCAAGUUUGAUGCUGGUUAUAUCCCCCGUGUGUGUGUGUGUGUGUGUGUCCUAUAGUUUAAUAUAUGUAUAUUAGCUUAAUUACCUAUUCAAAAUUGCUCAAAAGGAUCUUGCCACUUCAUAACUUAGAACUAUGCACCACAUAAGAGCUUAAACAACUGUAUUUAUUAUUGUUUCCAUAGCAUGAAUGGCAAUAUUUAGUGUGGAGACUGAUGAACAAGCUGCCACCACAAGCACUAAAAUAAAUAAAAUAAUAAAUAAAUAAAUAAUAAUUGUAAAGAUGAAUCUAUAAAAGUUACAACUUUACAAGAGGUAGUGAUGAUAUGGAAAAAUAAUUUUGGUUACAUAUAUAAAGCAAAAUUUUGGGAUGUAGUCACAACUAAACCAAGGUAUUCAUUCCAUGAAAAACAAGUGGCAUUACUUAAACCCUCAUGUGUCAUCGACCUCGUCCACUCUGGCUGGCUGACAGAAACAAAAGGUUACAGAAUGGCAUGAGUUGCAUUUGUAAGACAUUUAUGAUCCAUGAUAAAGUUGUCCCCAUCCCUUAAAACAACUUGAUUUAAAUAACAAGUUUUUAAAAAAUAAACCUUUGAAUUACAUACAUACAUACAUUAUAUAUAUAUAUAUAUAUAUCAUCUUCAUUUAUAUAAAAGUGGUGUUCUAGAAGUAGCUACCUCACUGGUCACAGACAUGCAUUAGAGUGGGGCGCUGAUGGAGGUGGUGACUGCUGCAGUAGUAGUGGCAGUUGUGUUGUGGUCAGAGUAGUACUUCGCAGUAGUGUUUUGCAUUGCUACGUAUGUACACCGAUUCUCGACAGCUUAGAUAAGUUACCAAUAAGCAAUGAUAACAAUAAUGACCGCAAUAACAAUAAAUAAAUUAUAAAAAAUCAACUAUAAUACAUACAUACAAGCUUCAGCUGUACCUUGUUUUCUGUUAAGUUCUCUCUCUUAUUCUUUCUUAGGAUUCCAUUACAUACAAAGUCCAUGCAUAUAUUUUACUUAAUAUACAGGCAUAUAUAAAAAAGAAAUUAAGUAAAUGUUUACAGUGAUGCUUCCAAGAACAGCAUCAUAUUUCUCUUCAGGUCUCCCUUCCCCCCAAAUGUGAACAGACACUUGAUGCUGCAACGGUGCAUUCCCUCACCACACGUCACUUGCUGAUGGCACGCCCGUCACAAAAAUAAAAACCAAAAAGACAGAUGGAUAGACUUUAAAAAGCAUCAUAUUCAAGAACAAACAAUAACACCUGGACAGAUAGAUGUGUGUAUGUAUCACCACUGUCUGCUGUGUGUGCAUGUGUGUGAGUAAAAGGAAAGGAAAAGAAAACCAAAACAACCACAAUGUUUACACACCCGUACACACACACACAAACACACACACACACACACACACACACACACACACACACACACACACACACACACACACACACACACAUCACCACCACCACCACAUAAAGCCACCACAACCACCACCACAAAGGCAACUGUUGUCAUACCCAACUGCUCGACAUCCACAGUAAGAGGGCAACAACAAGUUACUCCUGAACACAUUAUAAACAUCCAUAGCCAAGGACAACUCUAAACGUUCCCUAACUUUGCAUCCUUUACGAGCUCUGCAUAAAAGACCCACAUUAGAAACCCUACAACAUGACAGCAAAACUGACAUAAGGGAACCCAAAUAAAUAUUGUCUUAGGCAAUAUAGUGGUGGCAAUGAGCAGUGUCAGCAAGUUUUGAACAGUAGCUAGCAGCAGUAUACUUGUACACCUGACAGUACAAAUGAGGAUAACUCUAGUUGUAUGGCCUUAAAAAGUACUUCACAGCUUCCACCCAACAUAGGCAAAAAAGGGCUGUGUGUGUGUGUGUGUGUGUGUGUGUGUGUGUGUGUGUGUGUGUGUGUGUGUGUGUGUGUGUGUGUGUGUGUGUGUGUGUGUGUGUGUGUGU